UACGGAGGGUGCGAGCGUUAUCCGGAUUCACUGGGUUUAAAGGGUGCGUAGGUGGGUUGGUAAGUCAGUGGUGAAAUCCCCGAGCUUAACUUGGGAACUGCCAUUGAUACUAUCAGUCUUGAAUACUGUGGAGGUUAGCGGAAUAUGUCAUGUAGCGGUGAAAUGCUUAGAUAUGACAUAGAACACCAAUUGCGAAGGCAGCUGGCUACACAAAUAUUGACACUGAGGCACGAAAGCGUGGGGAUCAAACAGG
rnacentral:rRNA from 1 species